rnacentral:misc_RNA from 1 species
UUGAUUUUAAAAUAAAUAAGACGGCGUUUAGGGUUUGUCGGCCGAAGCCGAAGCAACAGGGAGAUAAACAGGGUUGGAGUUUGCCAUUGCUGGCCACUCUGUAAUGAUCCUUCCGCAGGUUCACCUACGGAAA